AUCCAGCUGACGAGUCCCAAAUAGGACGAAAUGGGCAUCCUGACUGGAU
rfam:Trichobilharzia regenti genome assembly, scaffold: TRE_contig0021585